GGGGAAUAUUGCACAAUGGGCGAAAGCCUGAUGCAGCAACGCCGCGUGAGUGAUGAAGGUCUUCGGAUUGUAAAGCUCUGUCUUUUGGGACGAUAAUGACGGUACCAAAGGAGGAAGCCACGGCUAACUACGUGCCAGCAGCCGCGGUAAUACGUAGGUGGCGAGCGUUGUCCGGAUUUACUGGGCGUAAAGGGUGCGUAGGCGGAUGUUUAAGUGAGAUGUGAAAUACCCGGGCUUAACUUGGGUGCUGCAUUUCAAACUGGAUAUCUAGAGUGCAGGAGAGGAGAAUGGAAUUCCUAGUGUAGCGGUGAAAUGCGUAGAGAUUAGGAAGAACACCAGUGGCGAAGGCGAUUCUCUGGACUGUAACUGACGCUGAGGCACGAAAGCGUGGAUAGCAAACAANCNGAUACCCUGGUAGUCCACGCCGUAAACGAUGAGUACUAGGUGUAGGAGGUAUCGACCCCUUCUGUGCCGCAGUAAACACAUUAAGUACUCCGCCUGGGAAGUACGAUCGCAAGAU
rnacentral:rRNA from 1 species